GGCUGCCGGAGACAUGCUUAUUGUCUCACACACACCAGGAAGUAGCUAAAACUAGCUUUCCGCUACGCCGCCAGGACUCGCUGGUACCUUGUUGCCACGGCGACGCAAAACAACAGGAUGCCAUGAGGGAAUCAGAACUACGGCUCUUCCUGUGACUCAUGCUUCCUGUUUCCUGUGUGUGUGGGCGAAGGAGCGGACGCGAGGAAGGAAAAGAGGCAAACUUCCACAUCAGCCUACUUGGUCAUCAGUGCGAGGUGCUGGUGGACAGUUGCCAUGACAACCAGACCCCUGCAGAUGCACCUCCUCUUCAUAUGACUUUGAAUGUAGGUGCGGGAUGGACGUCAGACCCAGUAAAGAUGAGAGAGAUGGCGCCCUCUGCUGGCUGCUUCACAUCACGGCAACUAAAAGAUUCACAAAGUCUGUUUAAUAAACAUUUCAACACAAUCCAACUUGAUUGUACACAUUUGAUUUAUUUAGUAAAAAAAGAAAUACAUCUAUUUGUGUGAGUGCUCCAAACAUUCACAAAUGGUUUUCUACACCAAAAUGCAUCUAUUUAUCAUUCUUCUUCUCCAGAUUUUGGCACUGUCUACUUUCCACAUUUUGUAUCCAAUUCAAACCGAUCCAACUUCCAACUGUUCAGCCUAUUUGGGAAUCGCAGGCUUUCCCCUGAAAAAUUCCCCAAAUUCCCAGGUUUUCCGGGACAUUUUUCCCAUUCAAAAUGAUUUGGGCGUUUUUCAGACUUGCAACAUUUCCACAUUUUUCAACGAUUCAAACCAUUCCACCUUCAACAUAUUCUACUCAUCCUGGACAUUCAAUCUAUCAUUUUUCCAAGUUCAAAAAAAUUCCAUCAUUGCCCAGAAUUCCUGUUUUUCAAACCCUUUAAACCGAUUUAAACAAUUCUGAA